rnacentral:rRNA from 1 species
UACGUAGGGUGCGAGCGUUGUCCGGAAUUACUGGGCGUAAAGAGCUCGUAGGUGGUUUGUCGCGUUGUUCGUGAAAACUCACAGCUCAACUGUGGGCGUGCGGCGAUACGGGCAGACUGGAGUACUGCAGGGGAGACUGGAAUUCCUGGUGUAGCGGUGGAAUGCGCAGAGUAUCAGGAGGAACACCGGUGGCGAAGGCGGGUCUCUGGGCAGUAACUGACGCUGGAGGAGCGAAAGCGUGGGGAGCGAACAGG